rnacentral:rRNA from 1 species
ACGCUCGACACUACGGAGCAGCAGUGGGGAAUAUUGCACAAUGGGGGAAACCCUGAUGCAGCAACGCCGCGUGAAGGAAGACGGUUUUCGGAUUGUAAACUUCUGUUCUUAGUGAAGAUAGUGACGGUAGCUAAGGAGCAAGCCACGGCUAACUACGUGCCAGCAGCCGCGGUAAUCUGAGCGGGCUGGCAAGGC